GCUCCCCCUCCGCCCGCCGCCUCCUCCCCUCGCUGCCAUCGGGCUGCCCGGCCCCACCGCCCGGAGCGGAGAGGAGCGGAGAGGGACACGGUUCUGUUUUUUUCCGCUCUCCCUUCGGCUCGUGUUGCAGUGCAGGCGAUGCCACACCUCCCGAGGACACCGGGGACAUCGGGUUUUGCUGAGCUUAGCAUCUUCCCCCCGCCGUACCGGAGACAUCAGACAGACGCUGCUCUGCCCUGAAGUGCGGACCUGCAACAGCUCUGGGAGGACUUCUGUCCCUCUGUCUCUUUCUCUCUCUCUUUCUCUCCAGUCCAAACCAUUCCAAGACCCGACUUCCACCAUCUGGAAAUCUCACCCCUUUUAUGUCCCUUCUCCUUUUCUACGAUGACUCACCAUUAUUUUUAACUUUGAAGAGAGAGGAAAUUAUGGGGAUCUUGGAAGCCUGUAUUCCUCUCUAGGAUUUCCCCAGGGUCAGAUAAUCGGUCUUACUAAGAGACACUAAGAUUUGGCUUCUCCAGGUAAUGUGAUUUGUUUUCUGUGUGCCAUGGCGCUUUGCAGAGAAUGAGAGCAGCCGGGACACCAGCGGUCGAGGAGGGGGACUGCAGUGGUCCGCGGGCAGCUUGCACCCAAAUUCAGGCAGCAGAGCCCAGCUCGGGGCGGGCAGAGCAGCACCCGCAGCCCUAUGGCAGGGGCAGGAGGAUGGGGACGGUGCCGAAGUUAAAGCGGAGCCUUUAGGGUUACCUGGAGGGUCGUGCCGGAUUGCCUGCUGUAGAACCGUAGAAUAAUCUAUGCACGGUUGAAUGUUAACCCUUAAAUGCAUGCCUGGAAAUGAGCCGAGCCCGCGCUGCCCCGCGGGUCCCCUCCCCGCUGUAGGGCUGGAUGGGUUUUUGCUUCCAUUCUCUUCCCUUCCCCCUCCUGGUUUUUUCUCCCCUCUUUCGAAUUUUUCUUUUUAGCCGUAAAACCCAAAAUGUUCUGUUUGGCCAAUGGCGGUUCUGCCGUGCCGGUUGUGAAUAGAUGAGGGUUCCUCAGGUGUUUUCUCCCUUCUGCCCUAUGGGUUUAGAUGGGAGUUCUGAACUCUGAUUAACUCAGAUUAACCCCCCGAGGACGGCGGUAGGCAAUGGUAGCGCAGGGAGCCGCUCUCCUCCCCCCAACUUUACUUCAUCUCUCUCUUUCUCAGCAGGGGCAAUUUUCUUUCCUUUUUUGUUUUCUCCUAUUUUAUCAUCCCUUCGCCUUUUCAUGAGACACUUCCACACCUACGUACCUGUCCUUCUGCAGGAUAGUAGCCUUGCCCUGAGUCCGAUCCCAUCACCGGGCACUCGGAAGAGUUUAGCAUAAG
rnacentral:lncRNA from 1 species